rfam:Gossypium raimondii Chr03_contig_18, whole genome shotgun sequence.
UGUUAAAAACUCUAUCUAUUUCUAUUAUUAAAAAUUGGUCCCUGUAUAUUAAAAUUAGCCAUGCCAAUUUUUUAACAGUACAAAUGGAUGAAGUUUUUAACA